AGUGAACGCUGGCGGUAGGCCUAACACAUGCAAGUCGAACGGCAGCACAGUAAGAACUUGCUCUUACGGGUGGCGAGUGGCGGACGGGUGAGGAAUACAUCGGAAUCUACUUUUUCGUGGGGGAUAACGUAGGGAAACUUACGCUAAUACCGCAUACGACCUACGGGUGAAAGCAGGGGAUCUUCGGACCUUGCGCGAUUGAAUGAGCCGAUGUCGGAUUAGCUAGUUGGCGGGGUAAAGGCCCACCAAGGCGACGAUCCGUAGCUGGUCUGAGAGGAUGAACAGACACACUGGAACUGAGACACAGUACAGACUCCUACGGGAGGCAGCAGUGGGGAAUAUUGGACAAUGGGGGAAAGCCUGAUCCAGCAAUACCGCGUGGGUGAAGAAGGACUUCGGGUUGUAGAGCCAUUUUGUUGGGAAAGAAAAGCAGCAGGUUAAUACCCCGCUGUUCUGACGGUACCCAAAGAAUAAGCACCGGCUAACUUCGUG
rnacentral:rRNA from 1 species